rnacentral:rRNA from 1 species
UGGGGAAUAUUGCACAAUGGGGGAAACCCUGAUGCAGCGACGCCGCGUGAGCGAAGAAGGCUUUCGAGUCGUAAAGCUCUGUCCUAAGAGAAGAUAAUGACGGUAUCAUAGGAGGAAGCCCUGGCUAAAUACGUGCCAGCAGCCGCGGUAAUACGUAUGGGGCGAGCGUUGUCCGGAAUUAUUGGGCGUAAAGGGUACGUAGGCGGUUUUUUAAGUCAGGUGUCAAAGCGUGGAGCUUAACUCCAUUAAGCACUUGAAACUGAAAGACUUGAGGGAAGGAGAGGAAAGUGGAAUUCCUAGUGUAGCGGUGAAAUGCGUAGAUAUUAGGAGGAAUACCGGUGGCGAAGGCGACUUUCUGGACUUUUACUGACGCUCAGGUACGAAAGCGUGGGGAGCAAAAAGG